rnacentral:lncRNA from 1 species
UUGGGACUCCAACCAUCACAUGAGAAAUCAAAUUAGCUUUCCAAAGAGUACUCAAACGUCCAAAACGGACUCCAUACGUAGGAGAUAUGGACAUCUUAAUCCAGGGUUGUCAGGCUGCGACGUGGCAAUCCGUAUUGAAUUCAAAUUUUCCGAUCUUCGAACUCCUUCUUAAGUCCAAACCAAAUCCUUGCCAAUAUUGAAGAAUGAAGUCUUUAAAUCCCUUCUAAAUUUAUGGUAGAGUCGGAUAUGAUAAAUAAGGGCUUCUAGAACAGAGACUCUCCAUGUUUUAUGAUCCACGCUCGUACAAAAACUCCAAAUCUUGUAAAGUUUGAUCCGUUGGAAAGAAAACUUGAUACCCUUUCUAAAUCUCACCUUUUAAAUCCAUGGAAUCUUUUGUAUUGGUGCGCACAACUCAAGAGAGAUGACUGCCAGAACAAAUGGCCCUGUAACUUGCGUUCCUGAUCCUCAUCAUUUUUCCCUUCUUCAAAACGAGUCGUCCUUGACUUGUGCUGGUUGUUGAAGCUUUGGUCAAUGACGGAGAUGAUGACUAAUACACUGUUUUGACUAACCAUGCUGCCAUCCCAACAUGGAUUCAGCCACAAACACAACUUAAAAAAAUAUAGACUCGAUGACACAACUGAUACCUACAAACUAGCAUUACAAAUUAGAAACAAUUCCAUCUAAUGUGAAACAAAUCCAAUGACAAUAGCACCUGACAAGAAUUAACAAAAGUUUGGAACUCAUCCAAUCCUAUUCUACAACAUCAGCAUUUUCUCAACACCAAUCUAAAACUGCACCUUCAAUUGCAAAACAAGCUUGCGAAGAAUAAAGAUCGUACUGAGUCAACCCAGAAAAUUGAUACCAAAUAAUACGGAGAUGGCCCGAUUUUCUCGACAUAGGAUCGCUGAACCACAUGUAGUGGUAGAAAGAUAACUAUUG